AACGAACGCUGGCGGCAUGCCUAACACAUGCAAGUUGAACGAGAUCUUCGGGUCUAGUGGCGCACGGGUGCGUAACGCGUGGGAAUCUGCCCUUUGGUUCGGAAUAACAGUUGGAAACGACUGCUAAUACCGGAUGAUGACGAAAGUCCAAAGAUUUAUCGCCAGAGGAUGAGCCCGCGUAGGAUUAGCUAGUUGGUGUGGUAAAGGCGCACCAAGGCGACGAUCCUUAGCUGGUCUGAGAGGAUGAUCGGCCACACUGGGACAGAGACACGGCCCAGACUCCUACGGGAGGCAGCAGUGGGGAAUAUUGGACAACGGGCGAAAGCCUGAUCCAGCAAUGCCGCGUGAGUGAUGAAGGCCUUAGGGUUGUAAAGCUCUUUUACCCGGGAUGAUAAUGACAGUACCGGGAGAAUAAGCUCCGGCUAACUCCGUGCCAGCCGCCGCCGUAA
rnacentral:rRNA from 1 species